ensembl:snRNA U6 U6 spliceosomal RNA
GUGCUCACUUCGGCAGCACCUACACUAAAAUUGGGAUGACACAGAAGGUCAGUGUGGCCGCCGUGCAAGGAUGACAUGCAAAGGUGUGCAGUGUUCCGUAAUUUU